CCUACGGGAGGCUGCAGUCGAGAAUCAUUCACAAUGGGGGAAACCCUGAUGGUGCGACGCCGCGUGGGGGAAUGAAGGUCUUCGGAUUGUAAACCCCUGUCAUGUGGGAGCAAAUUAAAAAGAUAGUACCACAAGAGGAAGAGACGGCUAACUCUGUGCCAGCAGCCGCGGUAAUACAGAGGUCUCAAGCGUUGUUCGGAAUCACUGGGCGUAAAGCGUGCGUAGGCUGUUUCGUAAGUCGUGUGUGAAAGGCGCGGGCUCAACCCGCGGACGGCACAUGAUACUGCGAGACUAGAGUAAGGGAGGGGGAACCGGAAUUCGCGGUGUAGCAGGGAAAUGCGUAGAUAUCGAGAGGAACCCUCGUGGCGAAGGCGGGUUCCUGGACAUUAACUGACGCUGAGGCACGAAGGCCAGGGGAGCGAAAGGGAUUAGAUACCCGAGUAGUC
rnacentral:rRNA from 1 species